CUUAAUUACAUUGAAUAUAUAGGGGAAAUCUGUAUUUUUCUUCUACAAUUUUCGGUUUCCGGUAUAAAUCACGUAAACCGCUCCAUAGAAUUUUUUUUUAAAUUAAUAUUUUCUUCCUCUUUGUCUUACGAAUUAGAUGAUGAUAAAAAAAAAUAUGGUCACCGACUUCGUUUUCCCUGUAGAAGCGACGCAAACUCAACAUUUUGGCCAAAAAACCAUCAAAAUUCGUGACGUCGUUAUUUUUAUUACAUAACGUCAAGUUAUCAUGCUAAUUAUUUCCAACGUUCUUCGUGUUGAUUAUGCACGAUUAUUAUGUGUUUCGUAUUGAUAGAUUAUUUUUAUCUGGAUAAUUAUCAUUAAUUUUUAUUUUGUAUAUUUUCCAAUAUUCUUUAUUCUUUAUAUUUAGGCACCCAAUUAUGCUCUUUUUCUUUUUUCUUUUUUUUUUUUUUUUGCCUUUUAUUCUGCAAUUUUUGCCCGUUAUUCUAUAUUCCGUUAACCCCAAUCAGACCCUCUUUUAUGGAACAUUUUAAAAAGAAAUUAUACGUUAUAAAAAAUAUGAUACAUGUAUGUUCAUUAUCAAUACACAUGUCUAAAACAAUUACUAAUUCAAACAAAAAUACAUUGUAAGUACAUGAACGCAAAAAUAGUAAAAACAUAAAAAUAGAAAUCAUCAGGUUUACUGUCUACAAUCUACAAGUUGACGCAAUAAAAGAUGUAAUUAAAGCUAUAAUUUGUUAUGCUCCCGCGACUGAAAGUUUGGGGGGGUACCCCUGUCCCUCUGUCCGCCGUCCUUCCCCUAUUAUAGUUAAUCCGCAUAACAUCUACAGUUUGAAUCCUAGAACGUUUUCACUUUGUUGUCUGUUUGAACAUAUAUUGAAGGUGUGCAUGUGGUCAGGGUUGUGAUCUUUAUUAAUAUUUGCUCUAAUGGGAGAUUGUUGAAUUUUGUCACUUUUUUGGGUAACCAAUUUGUAAAUCUCUAUAGACUAUCGUGUAGAUCAUCCAUUUUUUCUACGUUCCGAUAUAUGAUUUGGCAAAUUUUUGAAAACAAC
rnacentral:lncRNA from 1 species